rnacentral:rRNA from 1 species
AAUCUUCCACAAUGGGCGCAAGCCUGAUGGAGCAACACCGCGUGAGUGAAGAAGGGUUUCGGCUCGUAAAGCUCUGUUGUUAAAGAAGAACACGUAUGAGAGUAACUGUUCAUACGUUGACGGUAUUUAACCAGAAAGUCACGGCUAACUACGUGCCAGCAGCCGCGGUAAUACGUAGGUGGCAAGCGUUAUCCGGAUUUAUUGGGCGUAAAGAGAGUGCAGGCGGUUUUCUAAGUCUGAUGUGAAAGCCUUCGGCUUAACCGGAGAAGUGCAUCGGAAACUGGAUAACUUGAGUGCAGAAGAGGGUAGUGGAACUCCAUGUGUAGCGGUGGAAUGCGUAGAUAUAUGGAAGAACACCAGUGGCGAAGGCGGCUACCUGGUCUGCAACUGACGCUGAGACUCGAAAGCAUGGGUAGCGAACAGGAUUAGAUACCCUGGUAG